rnacentral:rRNA from 1 species
CUUGAAUAAGCAUAAGAGGUCCAGCCUGCCCAGUGACCAUGUUCAACGGCCGCGGUAUCCUAACCGUGCGAAGGUAGCGUAAUCACUUGUUCUUUAAAUAAGGACUAGUAUGAACGGCAUCACGAAGGUUACACUGUCUCCUCUUUCUAAUCAGUGAAACUAAUCUCCUCGUGAAGAAACGAGGAUGAACAUAUAAGACGAGAAGACCCUAUGGAGCUUCAAACUAUAAAGCACCUGCCCCAGUAUUACUUAAUUCCAGAAAACCACACCUACCCAGGCAAGAUGACCUUUAGUUUUAGGUUGGGGUGACCGCGGAGCAAAAAAAAACCUCCACAUUGAAAGGAGCCAACUCCUUAGCCAAGAGCCACACCUCUAAGCACCAACAAAAAGACAUCAAUUGACCCAAUAUUUUUGAUCAACGAAC